rnacentral:rRNA from 1 species
CUCAGACAUGCAAGUCGAACGAUUAAACUUUCCUUCGGGAAAGAUAUAAAGUGGCGCACGGGUGAGUAACACGUAGGUAAUCUACCUUUGAGUGGGGAAUAACAAUCGGAAACGAUUCUAAUACCGCAUAAUGCAGCGGCACCGCAAGGUGACAGUUGUUAAAGGAGCAAUCCGCUUAAAGAGGAGCCUGCGGCAGAUUAGCUAGUUGGUAAGGUAAUGGCUUACCAAGGCUACGAUCUGUAACCGACCUGAGAGGGUGGUCGGUCACACUGACACUGAAUAACGGGUCAGACUCCUACGGGAGGCAGCAGUCGGGAAUUUUGGGCAAUGGGCGAAAGCCUGACCCAGCAACGCCGCGUGAAGGAUGAAGUAUUUCGGUAUGUAAACUUCGAAAGAAUAGGAAGAAUAAAUGACGGUACUAUUUAUAAGGUCCGGCUAACUACGUGCCAGCAGCCGCGGUAAUACGUAGGGACCAAGCGUUGUUCGGAUUUACUGGGCGUAAAGGGCGCGUAGGCGGCAGUUCAAGUCAGUUGUGAAAUCUCCGAGCUUAACUCGGAACGGUCAACUGAUACUGUUUUGCUAGAGUGCAGAAGGGGCAAUCGGAAUUCUUGGUGUAGCGGUGAAAUGCGUAGAUAUCAAGAGGAACACCUGAGGUGAAGACGGGUUGCUGGGCUGACACUGACGCUGAGGCGCGAAAGCUAGGGUAGCAAACGGGAUUAGAUACCCCGGUAGUCCUAGCCCUAAACGAUGAAUACUUGGUGUCUGGAGUAAUUUAAUUCUCCGGGUGCCGUCGCUAACGUUUUUAGUAUUCCGCCUGGGGAGUACGCACGCAAGUGUGAAACUCAAAGGAAUUGACGGGGACCCGCACAAGCGGUGGAGCAUGUGGUUUAAUUCGACGCAACGCGAAGAACCUUACCUGGACUAGAAUGUGAGGGAAGGUCGUCUAAUAGCGACCGUCCGGGCAACCGGACCCAAAACAAGGUGCUGCAUGGCUGUCGUCAGCUCG